AAAAAUUUUACUAAAAAAAUACAUAAAAGUCAUAGACAUCCGACCAAUUGAGGAAGGAGCAACCUGAACAUAUUUUCUGAAAAGAAAAUUAAUUAACAUUAACAUAAGAAACAAAAAUAAAUGUAGAUAAUCACAACAAUGAAUAAACUAUUAUUCACUUGAUGUCAAGGUGAUGUAUUUACAUAUUUUCAACGUUUGUACGUUAUAUAACUCCUCCAGAGUGCUGUUUUACAGAAAACAUCGUAAAAAACAAUUUAAGUUAUAUAAAAAAAUAAAUUGUUGAUUUUCUUAAAAUCAACGUCAUCUUUCACAUCAAAAUUUUCAACACAUAGAAUAGUUUCUACAUACUAACCUGAUGACAUUGUAAUGUUUUUGCUGUGAAAGAUGAAAUCGUUAAUUUGAUUAGCAUCAGCAUCCCUUGAUUUUUUUGGCAUUGAGAUAACAUCCUUGCAUAUAUUGCUAUGAUCUCUUCUUUCCUAAUUGAAAAACAAAAAAAGACAUGAUUUAAAAGAUGGAAAAAUAGAAAAUAUUAUCUGUGAAUUAAGUUAUCUCUGUUCUCUUGUUGUAUAAAAUCUAAUAGUUUAAGUAUUAAAAAAAUAAACAUAAUGCUGACUGCUAAAUAUAUAAAAAAAGAAAGUCUUAAGUGACUGUAAUAUCUAAAUAUAUAUUCAGAAUAUACAAGUCCAUGAACCAUUAACUAGAUUUUUCAAACAAAUACAGAAUAAGGUUUAAUGAGUUUAUAUAUACUAUACCAUUCUUUUUACUUAUCUUGAAAUGAACAAAAACAAUUAGUUAUUAAGAAAAAAAAGAAUUAAAAUUGAAACAAAUUGAUAAUAUUAGAAAAAAAAAUCUUUAUCCUGAAAUAUGAAAACAUAUAUUGGGUGAAAACUUACAGCUUUAGAAAGCAUCUUUCUACAACAAAAUAAGAAGAAUAUGAAAGAAAGAAGAGAAGAAAGGAGGAAAGGCAGACUAAAGGAGGCG
rnacentral:lncRNA from 1 species